UAGUGCGAUCAUACCAACAAUAAUGUAUCGAAUUUGAUCAGAACUCCACAAGUAAACACGUAUGGACAAGAGUAGCACUAAGAUGUGACCAUGUGGAAAGUCCUAGUGUUGCCUGUUAGAGACUUUAGUCCUAUAUAUAUAUAUAUAUAUAUAUAUAUAUAUAUUAGUCUUAUUUGGCAUUCGACAUGAUCUUAUCUUGUAUAUAUAGUAGUC
rnacentral:lncRNA from 1 species